UUUGCAGCAGUGGAGCUAAAAAGCUAUAAUGCUAUUUUAGCUCCACUGAUAUUGCAAAACCAGCACACAACAGUGGAGGCAAAGCCAAAAUAUUUGGCUGAUUUGCUACAGUGCACAUCUAUAGAUAGAUGUGCACUGUAGCACUCAUCUAAACAAAAAAAAUAAUUUUUUAUGCGGCAACCGGAUUAAAAUAAUCCCUCUUUCCCCAUUUUUUCAUUCUUUUAUUUCCUUUCUCCUUCACCGUCACUCUCAAUCUCCUUCUCCCUCACUCUCAUCUCCCAAAUCGCUCCUGCCCAUCACCGUCACUCAUCACCGUCCAAGCCACAGACCAGCCCAGCCUAGCCCACGCCGUCCCUCGCCAUCCCAGACCAGCCCUCGCCAACGCCGUCCCUCGCCGUUCAGCCCAAAUCAGCCCACGCCGUCGCCGUCCUAGACCAGCCCAGCCCACGCCGUCCGUCGCCGCAUCUCCCUCACUCAUCGCACUCCAACUCAUCUCCCUCACUCAUCACCGUCGCCGUCCGUCGCCGUCGCAAGCUCUCAUCUCACUCAUCAAGCUCUCCACGCUGUCGCCGUCCAAGCCCAGCCCAAUCCGUCGCCGUCGCCGUCCCAGCCGAUCCACUUCAGAGCCAGAGUUAUGUAUGGAUGGUCUCUGUAUGUGGUGGCGGCGGAAAAAGAGUCGUCGGUGGCGGUGGCGGCGG